rnacentral:rRNA from 1 species
UACAGUGUGGGGCAAGCGUUUGUUCGGAAUUACUGGGCAUAAAGGGUGCGUAGGCGGCUUGUUAAGUCAGGGGUGAAAGUUUUCGGCCCAACCGGAAAAUUGCCUUUGAUACUGGCGAGCUCGAGUGCGUGAGGGGUAACCGGAACGAGCAGUGUAGCGGUGAAAUGCGUAGAUAUUGCUCGGAAGGCCAACGGCGAAGGCAGGUUACUGGUACGCAACUGACGCUGAGGCACGAAAGCGUGGGGAGCAAACAGG